CCAAAGAAGAGACAAAGGCUUCUUCUUCUUCUUUUUUUUGCUUUUUUUUUCUCCUCCCCUUCUCUGGAGAUUUCCACUUGAAAGAAAAAAUUGAAUGAACAACAAACGAAGAUUUUCAAUUAAUGAAUCUGGUGGAAAUAAGAAUGAAGCUUCAUUUUUCUGUUCUCUUCUUUCUCUCUAAUUGUUUGGGAUUUUCCUGUUUGCUUAAACCAACAACAAAAACAAAUUAUUUUUUUUGAGAGAUUGAUGAAAGCUAGUGUUAGAAAUCAGUGAGUCUAUGGAUUUGGGUUGCAAUAAACGUAAGGUUUUAAAUCUUGAACAGCCAGCUAACCUUAGUGCUUCUCAUUAUCCGUAUACAAGAUGAAGCUGAAAUUUUAUCAUGUUAUUUAGUACUCUAAAGGUGACUUACUGUAAAAACUUCAUAAAGAUAUGAGAAAUUUAGAUGCCCCAAACAGUGGUUUAAUCACGACUUAAUUCUGUAGGACGAUUCUGGGAGCAGGAAACUUCUGAUGUUCACAUACCCUUAUUGAACCGUUGGAUUGGUGUGAUUGUUGGACAUGUAACUUUAGUUUGUGUAGUAGGUCUACUGUAAAAAUUUCAAGGAAAUUAGGUAAUGUUAUCUACUGUAAACCUUGAAUAUUUAUUUCGUUAUGUGGUGAUUGUAUUUAGAUGAAUUUUUCACAUGUUAAGAGGUAUAGUUUCGUUAAAGUAUGAUAUAAAUUCUGGAAGAAACAAAGCAUGUUUGCUGUCAAAAAUGUAAGAAAAUUGUGACUGAAUUGAUAGUAGCUUACAUGUUUGAUUGUUAUGAGAAUGACCUAUAUUACUUGGAAAAUUCCAGUGCUUUAUAUUAGACCUAUGGUGGUUCUCAUUUCAUAAACAUAAUAUGUACUAACCCUUCGAAACACUAUAGUCAUUAAAAGUUUGAUUAUCCUGCUUAAUCCUCCAACAUUACAUUAGACUUGUUGUUGUAUUUAUUUUUUGUUGCCAACUUAUAGUAGUGAUUGUGGAUUUUCAUUUUCGUGGGUUUCGUUGACUAAACUUGAUCAACAAAAGAAAUAUUAGGAUCCGUAUAUAUGUAUGAUGUUACAAAUUUACUUGGAUGGUCGAUGUAUAUGAUGUCACUUACUCUUGAUGAUAAAGUGAUGAUUUUAUCAGUGAACAAAUAAACAUUGGUGCUGAUUUAGUUACAGUGUGGUGCCGACUUGUGUUCCAUCACCAUGGUGGUACUAUACCUCCUAUCAUUCUUGUCGUUUUGGUCUAAAUUGUUAUGCAUCUCCUAAUCCCUGUGGUAAUGCACUACUUAUGGUUCUACAAUUAGUCAUCACUGCACGCGGAGUCUUCCGUAAAAUCUGGUAGGCAUAUUUUACUUGAAAACUCUAACUUAUUGUUUGCUUUAAUCGUUGAUCUUAAGAAAAGGGUAAACCUUGUAUUUUAGAGAAAUGGAAAUUUGUUGAUGCUUGCCUGGGUAGUGAAAGUGGACAGUGAUAUUCCAUAUUUAACAUUUAAGCAACUUGAAGUGGUUUGGCUAAUGAGUUUACUUGUCAAAUAUAUUGCUUACUCCACUUUGGUGCAAUGGAUGUUUUAUGAAAGUCCUUGACAUAUUCCAUAUAUUCCUGUUGUAUAAUAUGUGUAACUUGGAUUAGACACAACAAAAUCGUAGUCUACUUUUGAUUUUGAAUGACGGGUACAGGUAUAGGUACAUACAUAUGCUUCCAUAUUGUACAUCAUCAGAUAGUCGUUAAGGUGACCGUUGACAAUGAAAUGUGCUAGUUAUAGUUGUUUAUAAACAACUCAUACUAUUUAUAACAUCUAAAUUAUUGCUGCGACGAGAGAUAGUUGUUACUAUCGUGGGUAGUUCAUACUAUCUAAACUGAAAGUUGACGAACUACGGUUGUGCUUGAUCCCUUCGAGCAACGGAGAGGGUACGUAGGCAGCCGCUAUGCGGUUCAGCACAACUCUGCAAGGUUGGUUAUAUCGUCUGAAAAGAGUUAGUUGCUGCUUUACAGUUCGUUUAUGAAUUUGUAUCUAAUGGUACCCUUUCCGAGCAUAUCCAUCAUAAAGGUGCUAGUGAGAUGUCUUCCAUGACCUGGGAAAAUCGUUGAAGGAUUGCUACAGAAAUUGCUACUGCACUGGCGUAUUUACAUUCUGCUGCAUCUCCACCAAUCAUUCAUAGAGAUGUGAAGUCUGCCAACAUACUACUAGAUGAAAAUAUGUUGCUAAAGUUGCAGACUUUGGAGCAUCAAGACUAGUUCCUUUGGAUCAGACUCGUGUAAACACUGUUGUUCAAGGCACCUUAGGGUAUCUGGAUCCAGAGUACUUCCGUUCGAGCCAACUAACAGAUAAAAGUGAUGUUUAUAGUUUUGGUGUUAUGCUUGUGGAACUCUUAACAGGAGAAAAACCAGUUUGUUUUGAGAGAUCAGAAGAACAGAGAUGCCUCGCAGCAUAUUUCCUUUCUUUAACUGCAGAAAAUGAUCUGUUCCAGAUCAUUGAUGCUCAGGUGGAUGAGGGACAAUUGGAACAAGUCGUUGUAGUCGUAGACAUAGCAAAGAAAUGCCUCAAGUUUAAAGGCGCAGAAAGGCCAUCAAUGAUGGAAAUUGCUGCAGAUUUACAAGGUUUGGCUAGGUUCAAUUCAAAUGAUUUGGAUUGUCAACCACUUUACGGCGAAGAAACUGCAAACUUACCAUCUGAUCCGAAAGACCUCUACAGCAUUCCAUCGAUUUCGUAUGACCAUUCCAGCCAGUACACUUCAGAGAGUACUAAUGUUGGCUUCUCUAUGAACAUUCCUCGCUGAAAUUGCAAACGGAGGCAAAAAAAUAAUAAUAAUAAUAAUAAUAAUUAAUUAUAAUACAUGUCAUGUCAUGCAAAUACAAAUACAUGUAUUUUGACUAAGAUUUAUGCAUAUACAAAUACAUCAUGUCAUGCAACUUGGCUCGGUUGAGAUUUCAAUGUUGAUAUAUAGGUUAAUUUUCUAUA